UUUGANUACCCUUGCGACUGCCUCAUACAUGCAAGUCGAGCGCAGGAAGCACGACCAAUCCCUUCGGGGUGAGGACGUGUGGAAUGAGCGGCGGACGGGUGAGUAACACGUGGGCAACCUACCUGCAAGACUGGGAUAACUCCGGGAAACCGGGGCUAAUACCGGAUAAUCCUUUUGAUCGCAUGAGAGAGAGGUAAAAGGCGGCUUUUAGCUGUCACUUGCAGAUGGGCCCGCGGCGCAUUAGCUAGUUGGUGAGGUAACGGCUCACCAAGGCGACGAUGCGUAGCCGACCUGAGAGGGUGAUCGGCCACACUGGGACUGAGACACGGCCCAGACUCCUACGGGAGGCAGCAGUAGGGAAUCUUCCGCAAUGGACGAAAGUCUGACGGAGCAACGCCGCGUGAACGAAGAAGGUUUUCGGAUCGUAAAGUUCUGUUGUUAGGGAAGAACACGUACCGUUCAAAUAGGGCGGUACCUUGACGGUCCUAACGAGAAAGCCCCGGCUAACUACUUGCCAGCA
rnacentral:rRNA from 1 species